CCUACACAUGCAAGUUGCACGGCGCCAUGCCUCUCGAGGAAUGGCGGAGUGGCGGACGGGUGAGGAACGCGUAAGGACCUGCCCCUGGGAGGGGGAUAACAGCUGGAAACGGCUGCUAAUACCCCAUAUCCUGAGGAGGGAAAGGAGAGAUCCGCCCAGGGAGGGGCUUGCGUCUGAUUAGCUAGUUGGGGGGGUAAUGGCCUCCCAAGGCAACGAUCAGUUGCUGGUCUGAGAGGAUGAUCAGCCACACUGGGACUGAGACACGGCCCAGACUCCUACGGGAGGCAGCAGUGAGGAAUCUUCCGCAAUGGGCGAAAGCCUGACGGGGCAAUGCCGCGUGGAGGAUGAAGGCCCAAUGGGUCGUAAACUUCUUUAGAUCAGAGACGAAGAGAUGACGGUACCUGAAGAACUAAGCAUCGGCUAAACCCCGUGCCAGCAGCCGCGGUAAGACGGGGGAUGCGAGCGUUAUCCGGAAUGGUUGGGCGUAAAGGGUCCGCAGGUGGCCCGGUCAGUCCGCUGUCAAAACCUGGGGCUCAACCCUGGACAGGCGGCGGAGACCACCGGGCUUGAGUCCGGUAGGG
rnacentral:rRNA from 1 species